UACGGAGGGUGCGAGCGUUGUCCGGAAUCACUGGGCGUAAAGGGCGCGUAGGCGGCGCGGGAAGUCAUCGGUGAAAGCUCAGGCUCAACUCUGAGUCGGCCGGUGAUACUCUCGUGCUUGAGCACUGUAGAGGCAGGUGGAAUUCCGGGUGUAGCGGUGGAAUGCGUAGAGAUCCGGAAGAACGACCGGUGGCGCAGGCGGCCUGAGCUGGGCCAUGGUAGCUGGACGCUGAUGCGCGACAGCGUGGGAGCAACAGGAGUAGAUGACCCAGACAGUCCGACACCAAG
rnacentral:rRNA from 1 species